CUUGGUAAGCAGUCCUAGCAGGAACUAGUCUUUGCAGGAUGUUGGAUUGAGUGCUACCGGAAAGAGCAGCAUAGUGGCUGGUAGCUGCUGACUUGAGUCAGUGGUGGUUUUUCCAUUACUCUUGCCAUACCAACAUGCUUCAGAGAACUGAAAAUCAUAGAAAUUAGAAGGAGGAAGUGCUGCUAAUUUUAGGCUGAAUGUUGAAUCAGAAAACAGAGCUGGGCUAGGCUGUACCUCUUCACCCAGACCCAGGCAGAUUUGAAGGCACUCCUGCGUAGGAGACUGUGAACCCUGAGCAGCAGCGUGACAGGGUAAAAUUGAGCUCCCUUCUGUCAGGUGCCCUCACAGAAAAUGAUAGUACCACUUGCAUUUUCCAGUUCUUCUGCAAUUUGACUGACUGGGUUUACAGUUGGGAAUGAGGAGAUUAUUUCUGUGUAAGCAG
rnacentral:lncRNA from 1 species